UUCCUUUAGUAUAUAUUUAAAGGUAUUGCCUGCCCAAUGUCAAAAUAAAUGGCUGCGGUAUCUUAACUGCACUAAGGUAGCAUAAUUAAUUGUCUUUUAAAUGGUGACCUGUUUGAACGGCUUAAUGAGAAAAAAAUUUUCUUUUAAUUACAAUAAAAUUAUAUUUCAAGGUUAAAAUACCUGAUUAUAAAAAAAAGACGAGAAGACCCUGUUGAGUUUUACAUUGAUAAUAAUGUUAAAAUGGGAAAUUUAACCUUUUUUUAAGGUUUAGUAGAUCCUGGAAUCAAGAAUGCAUUCUGGAUAUAGGAUAAAGUUACCACAGGGAUAACAGGACAAUAUUUGCUAAGAGUUCUAAUCGAAGCAAAUGGUUGUUACCUCGAUGUUGAAUCGAAAUAUCUUUUUGAUGCAGCAGUCAAAAAAGUGGGUCUGUUCGACCUUUUAAAUUUC
rnacentral:rRNA from 1 species